ensembl:snRNA U6 U6 spliceosomal RNA
GUGCUUGCUUCAGCAGCUCAUACACUAAAACUAAAACAAUACAGAAAAGAUCACAUGGCCCCUAUGCACAGACGACAUACAAAUUCAUGAAGCAUCUCAUAUUUUU